AAUACAUCGGAAUCUACUCUGUCGUGGGGGAUAACGUAGGGAAACUUACGCUAAUACCGCAUACGACCUACGGGUGAAAGCAGGGGAUCUUCGGACCUUGCGCGAUUGAAUGAGCCGAUGUCGGAUUAGCUAGUUGGCGGGGUAAAGGCCCACCAAGGCGACGAUCCGUAGCUGGUCUGAGAGGAUGAUCAGCCACACUGGAACUGAGACACGGUCCAGACUCCUACGGGAGGCAGCAGUGGGGAAUAUUGGACAAUGGGCGCAAGCCUGAUCCAGCCAUACCGCGUGGGUGAAGAAGGCCUUCGGGUUGUAAAGCCCUUUUGUUGGGAAAGAAAUCCAGCUGGCUAAUACCUGGUUGGGAUGACGGUACCCAAAGAAUAAGCACCGGCUAACUUCGUGCCAGCAGCCGCGGUAAUACGAAGGGUGCAAGCGUUACUCGGAAUUACUGGGCGUAAAGCGUGCGUAGGUGGUCGUUUAAGUCCGUUGUGAAAGCCCUGGGCUCAACCUGGGAACUGCAGUGGAUACUGGGCGACUAGAGUGUGGUAGAGGGUAGCGGAAUUCCUGGUGUAGCAUGAAAUG
rnacentral:rRNA from 1 species